GGGGGUGCAUUGGAUUCGAUGGGAGUCCUGAUGCGACGGAUGCAUACCGGGAAGUCUGUAACCCGUAAACUGCAGGCAAAACCACAAUUGUGAAUACAGAACUCGCAAUGGCAGCCUAGUUAAAACCUAGACUACCCGUUCGCUCCGGCAUCGCCUGUGUGCCGGAUGUCGAGCGCCGACUUUGCAGGCUAGCGAUUCAGUGCAGGUCAGAGCUGAAAAGCGAAACUCUUCUGGCAUAGUUUGUGCCCGGUUCUUCGCCGCUUCUGCUACCGGGUGCGAGCAAAAAUUCAAGCGAAGCGGAUAAGUAUGUAGAUUCCUUCGAAGACGGCUGCCAGACGAGAGUUCGAUUCUCUCCACCUCCAUCA
rnacentral:tmRNA from 1 species